rfam:Loxodonta africana unplaced genomic scaffold scaffold_38, whole genome shotgun sequence.
ACCCUGAUGGCGUAGUGGUUAAGUGCUAUUGGCUGCUAACCAAACGGUCGGCAGUUCGAAUCCUCCAGGUG